rnacentral:rRNA from 1 species
UACGUAGGGGGCAAGCGUUGUCCGGAUUCAUUGGGCGUAAAGCGCGGGCAGGCGGCCCGUUAAGUCGGCCGAGAAAGCGCCGGGCUCAACUCGGCGAGGACGGGCGAGACUGACGGGCUCGAGGUUGGCAGAGGGCGGUGGAAUUCCGGGUGUAGUGGUGGAAUGCGUAGAGCUCCGGAGGAACACCAGUGGCGAAGGCGGCCGCCUGGGCCAAUACUGACGCUGAGCCGCGAAAGCGUGGGGAGCGAGCCGG